rnacentral:rRNA from 1 species
UCGAACGAACUUCCGUUAAUUGAUUAUGACGUGCUUGCACUGAAUGAGAUUUUAACACGAAGUGAGUGGCGGACGGGUGAGUAACACGUGGGUAACCUGCCCAGAAGCAGGGGAUAACACCUGGAAACAGAUGCUAAUACCGUAUAACAGAGAAAACCGCCUGGUUUUCUUUUAAAAGAUGGCUCUGCUAUCACUUCUGGAUGGACCCGCGGCGCAUUAGCUAGUUGGUGAGGUAACGGCUCACCAAGGCGAUGAUGCGUAGCCGACCUGAGAGGGUAAUCGGCCACAUUGGGACUGAGACACGGCCCAGACUCCUACGGGAGGCAGCAGUAGGGAAUCUUCCACAAUGGACGCAAGUCUGAUGGAGCAACGCCGCGUGAGUGAAGAAGGGUUUCGGCUCGUAAAGCUCUGUUGUUAAAGAAGAACGUGGGUGAGAGUAACUGUUCACCCAGUGACGGUAUUUAACCAGAAAGCCACGGCUAACUACGUGCCAGCAGCCGCGGUAAUACGUAGGUGGCAAGCGUUAUCCGGAUUUAUUGGGCGUAAAGCGAGCGCAGGCGGUCUUUUAAGUCUAAUGUGAAAGCCUUCGGCUCAACCGAAGAAGUGCAUUGGAAACUGGGAGACUUGAGUGCAGAAGAGGACAGUGGAACUCCAUGUGUAGCGGUGAAAUGCGUAGAUAUAUGGAAGAACACCAGUGGCGAAGGCGGCUGUCUGGUCUGUAACUGACGCUGAGGCUCGAAAGCAUGGGUAGCGAACAGGAUUAGAUACCCUGGUAGUCCAUGCCGUAAACGAUGAUUACUAAGUGUUGGAGGGUUUCCGCCCUUCAGUGCUGCAGCUAACGCAUUA